rnacentral:lncRNA from 1 species
GCCGCCGCCACUCUCUGUCCGGAGAACGAUGCAUCAACUAGUCAAAGGAUGGGUUUUGUGUGCUUUCUUUCAUUGUUAUUCAGAUCAAGACUAGCCAUUUUGGGUAAGAUUCUUCACCUGGUGAGAAUGGUUCGUUUCAGGUUUAAGCUCUGAUGUUUCUCUUUUUGCUCUUUUCGAUUGAUUCACCGUGUAUCAGAACUUCACAGCCGUAAGGUUUUGGCGUGAGGAUUAAACACGGUGCUAUAUAAAAUUCUAAAGGCACAUUUGGCUGCAUCCAUCUGAUCAUGAAAAGAUCAUUUGGGCAGUCUUUGCGCUACAGUUUUGUUCUUGUAAGCAAUCUGUGUUUUUGAGGUUUCUUCAUGGCUUCAUUCCAGUUGCUUCUGCUAUUGACCUGCACAACUUAAGAUUGAUGUUUCGAUGUUCUGUUUAUACAAUCAGGAUUCUGAUCAAUUCAUCUGUAUGCUAACCAAACUUUUAUCUCUAUGGAUAUGUGACAUCUACAGGAUGAGGAUUAUGGCAAAACACUGAGAAAUGAAGAAGACAACAACUCAGUAACUACCUGGAUCUUGUGAAUGCCCUCCUCCAUUUACCCAUCUUGACUGCAAAAGCUGGAAAUCUUUCAGUGAAGCGGUGUAAGAAAUGCAGAAAUGCAGAGCUCGGGAUACGCGACUUGAUGGAAGCCAAAAUCUUGAUUACAUGACUCGAGCUAAACAUAAAGACCAGCAGAGUAAUAUAAUACAGUGACCUUGGCUUCUCUUUCUUGGUAGCCCCAUAGUGUU